GAUGAACGCUGGCGGCGUGCCUAAUACAUGCAAGUCGAGCGAAUGGAUUAAGAGCUUGCUCUUAUGAAGUUAGCGGCGGACGGGUGAGUAACACGUGGGUAACCUGCCCAUAAGACUGGGAUAACUCCGGGAAACCGGGGCUAAUACCGGAUAACAUUUUGAACCGCAUGGUUCGAAAUUGAAAGGCGGCUUCGGCUGUCACUUAUGGAUGGACCCGCGUCGCAUUAGCUAGUUGGUGAGGUAACGGCUCACCAAGGCAACGAUGCGUAGCCGGACUGGGAGGGUGGUCGGCCACACUGGGACUGAGACACGGCCCAGACUCCUACGGGAGGCAGCAGUAGGGAAUCUUCCGCAAUGGACGAAAGUCUGACGGAGCAACGCCGCGUGAGUGACGAAGGCUUUCGGGUCGUAAAACUCUGUUGUUAGGGAAGAACAAGUGCUAGUUGAAUAAGCUGACACCUUGACGGUACCUAACCAGAAAGCCACGGCUAACUACGUGCCAGCCGCCGCGGUAA
rnacentral:rRNA from 1 species